rnacentral:sRNA from 1 species
AGGGAUCAUUACACAAAUUAAAAUAUGAAGGCUUCGGCUGGAUUAUUUUUAUCACCCUUGUCUUUUGCGCACUUGUUGUUUCCUGGGCGGGUUCGCCCGCCACCAGGACCACACCAUAAACCUUUUUUAUGCAGUUGCAAUCAGCGUCAGUAUAACAAAUGUAAAUCAUUUACAACUUUCAACAACGGAUCUCUUGGUUCUGGCAUCGAUGAAGAACGCAGCGAAAUGCGAUACGUAGUGUGAAUUGCAGAAUUCAGUGAAUCAUCGAAUCUUUGAACGCACAUUGCGCCCUUUGGUAUUCCAAAGGGCAUGCCUGUUCGAGCGUCAUUUGUACCUUCAAGCUUUGCUUGGUGUUGGGCGUCUUUUUGUCUUUGGCCUCGCCCAAAGACUCGCCUUAAAACGAUUGGCAGCCGGCCUACUGGUUUCGCAGCGCAGCACAUUUUUGCGCUUGCAAUCAGCAAAAAGGACGGCAAUCCAUCAAGACUACAUAUUUACGUUUGACCUCGGAUCAGGUAGGGAUACCCGCUGAACUUAU